rnacentral:tRNA from 1 species
AAGGAUUUAAGUUAAUUUAAACUAUCAACCUUCAAAGUUGAAAAUAGAUUUUUUCUAAGCCUUA